GGGUCAGUAGGUUGGUCGUGCCACCGGUACGUACUGGUCUCACUGAUUCCUCCUUCCUGAAGAACCGUAAUGACAUUAAUUUGGUGCUGCGGGGAAACAGGACUGUUACUUUGAAUAAAUUAGAGUGUUUAAAGCAAGCUAACGCUUGAAUACAUUAGCAUGGAAUAAUGAAAUAGGACGAUCGAUCCUAUUUUGUUGGUUUCUAGGAUUGACGUA
rnacentral:rRNA from 1 species